rnacentral:rRNA from 1 species
CUACGGGGUGCUGCAGUGAGGAAUUUUGCGCAAUGGGGGGAACCCUGACGCAGCAACGCCGCGUGAGUGAUGAAGGCUUUCGGGUCGUAAAGCUCUGUCAAGUGGGAAGAACCUAUGCAGUGUUAAUAUCACUGUAUACUGACGGUACCACUGAAGGAAGCACCGGCUAACUCCGUGCCAGCAGCCGCGGUAAUACGGGGGGUGCAAGCGUUAUUCGGAAUCAUUGGGCGUAAAGGGCACGUAGGCGGCUUGGUAAGUCAGAUGUGAAAGCCCGGGGCUUAACCCCGGAAGUGCAUUUGAUACUGUCAGGCUUGAGUAUGGGAGAGGGAAGUGGAAUUCCUGGUGUAGAGGUGAAAUUCGUAGAUAUCAGGAGGAACACCGGUGGCGAAGGCGACUUCCUGGACCAAUACUGACGCUGAGGUGCGAAGGCGUGGGUAGCAAACAGGAUUAGAUACCCCUGUAGUC